UCAGCCCUUCCUCCUCCUUUCUUUCUUACGUUUCUUUUUUCUUUUUUUUCCACUCCCAGUCUUUUCGUUUUCCCUUCGUUUCAUUUUUAAUAGAUAAAUAGGGAGUCGCACACACACCAGAGGGAAACGAAUCGAAGUCGAUGGAGGAGAUAUGAUCGAGGCUGGCAGGAACGACGGCAAGACAAUUCAACGGAAAUGGAAUUAAACGCAGAUAGACCGAUCGAAUGAGGUGGCAGCGGAGGCAAGGUGUGGUGGACUUAACAAAGCAACUGGAUGAGUUUGCUCGGGAGAUCGACGAGGUGGUCAGUGUAGAAGGGAGUGACAUGGGAGAGGAACAGGGCUCUAUCAGCGAGGUCUUUGGCGACGGUGGGUUCGGUGCCGAUGCCGAAGAAGAAUUUUGCAAUGUGCUAUUUUUGGUUUCCCUUUCACGCUUUAGGUAUAAAUACCCACUCUGUGUUUGGUACUUUUUCAUCAAUUUCUCUACAGUCUACCCCCAAAUAAUUUCUAUAAACCAAUACAUAGCUUUGGAUGUUUUCCCUAAUUUGUUGCUAAUGUCCCAAAUACAUAAUUGGUUUCUUGAUUUUCCUUUGCUGUUUUUGUUGAGGCACGAGGCAAACUGUCUCUGGAAUUUCAGAUUCAAGAAUGGCUAUAUAAUAUGGGUAAUUUGCUGUUUUGGGUUUCCCUUUCACGCUUCAGUACAGGAUUUAUUAGCAAAUUGCAAAUGAAGUAUACAUAAUUUUCUCAAGCAAAUUGCAAAUGCUUUGCUUGAUGCUGUUCAGAAUAUGAAAGUUGGGGAUGGUUUUAGUGACAGUGUUGUUCAGGGCCCUCUGAUCAAUGAAGCUGCUGUCAAAAAGGUUGAGUCCUUAAUUCAUGAUGCUACAUCAAAGGGGGCAAAAGUAAUUAUUGGCGGUAAACGACAUAGUCUUGGACUCACUUUUUAUGAACCAACAUCGUUAGUGAUGUCCACAAUGAUAUGUGCAUAUCUAGAGAGGAAGCAUUUGGACCUGUUGCACCCCUUUUGAGGUUCAAAACUGAAGAGGAUCCUAUCAGAAUUGUCAACGACACUAACGCAGGAAACAAACCCAUUGAAUUAUGCAUUGAAGAAAUUAACAUGGGAAAACCAUCUGCAGCAGCCAGCAAGAUAAUAUAGCCAAGGCAUAUCAUGAAUGUAUUAUGCUUGGACCGGUGAUACAGAACCUUGAAAACUUAGUCAGCUAUAGAACUUAGUAGAUUAUGCAGUAAGAAGAGGCAAAGUUUGGAAACUAUGAAGCCUUUGAAGCUGAUCUGUGUGCUCUCUCCAUCCUAGGGAAUAACCUUUCAAAAAGGAGAAGCCUCUCAAUAAAAGUGAAGCAGUUGAUGCUUCUAAUUUGCAUUGAAGAAAUUAACAUGGGAAAAAGUACUAGAGUGGAAGCUUUUUUUCAGGCAUAUUUAUAUAACUGCAAGCGUCCUCAUUCUUCAGUUGUAGCACUUGCUGCACUCAGGUCCACAGAAAGAUCAAGAACCUGGAAAAAAGAACAAAUAAGAUAUUAUGAUCAAGAAAAACAAAUUCAGACUUCCACUGCUCCAUCACAUUUUUUUCUUUUCCCCUUUGAUAUAAUCUUCUAUUGAUGCAACAUUAUAUUUUAGGCAAGAUGCUUUUGUGCUUCCAAAUUAUUGUAUAGUUUGUUAUACACGUAUAUGUAUAUAAUUACAAUUAUAACUGUUGAUUUUCUGAUUAAUGAUUAUAACUGUAGAUUUCCUCA